CAGUGUUGUGUGUGUGAUUCUGGUGCUGCUUCUGAUGGGAACCUCAUUUCUCACAGUGACUCUCAGAAAGAGAAGCAGAAAGGAGCAGGCAUCGUCCAAAGGCCAGUCCGUCCAAGACUCCUCACACAGCCAUGGGGUUUGACUUUCUGUCUGUGGCUAUGGGGAUAUUAAAGACAUCAGAAGCCAUUCUGUCUCAGACACUGGAGCUCCUACAGUCUACUCUAAUGAUUGUCUACUCAAAAACCCCUCUGAUCCCUCCCAAACUGUUUAUGCAAAUGCACAUUGACACACAAACCAGUUAGAUCCCUCCCAAACUG